rnacentral:rRNA from 1 species
CACGUAGGGCGCAAGCGUUGUCCGGAAUUAUUGGGCGUAAAGAGCUCGUAGGCGGUCUGUUACGUCUGCUGUGAAAACCCGGGGCUUAACCCUGGGCUUGCAGUGGAUACGGGCAGACUAGAGGCAGGUAGGGGAGAAUGGAAUUCCCGGUGUAGCGGUGAAAUGCGCAGAUAUCAGGAGGAACACCGGUGGCGAAGGCGGGUCUCUGGGCCGAUACUGACGCUGAGACGCGAAAGCGUGGGGAGCGAACAGG